UGCUGGGUCCUGCGCGGCGGAAGCCUUCGAAACCCGCCAGGAUCGGAAGAUAGCAACGGUAAGGAGUCCCUUUCGGGUGUCGUGGGAGUGCCUGGCAACA
rnacentral:SRP_RNA from 1 species